rnacentral:snRNA from 1 species
GCGCUCACUUCAGCAGAUCACAUAGAACUAAAAUUGGAACACCGAGAAGAUUAGCACGGCCCCUGCCCAAGGGUGAGAUGAAAACCCGUGACAUGUCCCGCAAUACU